UACGUAGGGUGCGAGCGUUAAUCGGAAUUACUGGGCGUAAAGCGUGCGCAGGCGGCGCGUUAAGACAGGUGUGAAAGCCCCGAGCUUAACUUGGGAAUUGCGCUUGUGACUGGCGUGCUGGAGUGUGGCAGAGGGAGGUGGAAUUCCACGUGUAGCAGUGAAAUGCGUAGAUAUCAGGAGGAACACCUGCGGUGUAGACGGCUUUCUGGGACGGUACUGACGCUGAGACGCGAAAGCGUGGGGAGCGAACAGG
rnacentral:rRNA from 1 species